AGAGUUUGAUCCUGGCUCAGGAUGAACGCUAGCGGCAGGCCUAAUACAUGCAAGUCGAACGGUGGUAGCAAUACCAUAGUGGCGCACGGGUGCGUAACACGUAACUAACCUACCCAUCAUUGGGGGAUAGCCCGCCGAAAGGCGGAUUAAUACCGCAUAAGACAAUAGAAGGGCAUCCUUUAGUUGUUAAAGAUUUAUUGAUGAUGGAUGGGGUUGCGGGUCAUUAGCUAGUUGGUAAGGUAACGGCUUACCAAGGCGACGAUGACUAGGGGAGCUGAGAGGCUGGUCCCCCACACGGGCACUGAGAUACGGGCCCGACUCCUACGGGAGGCAGCAGUAGGGAAUAUUGGGCAAUGGACGAGAGUCUGACCCAACCAUGCCGCGUGCAGGAAGAAGGCUUUCUGAGUCGUAAACUGCUUUUGACAGGGAAGAAUAAGCACUACGUGUAGUGUGAUGACGGUACCUGCAGAAUAAGCACCGGCUAACUCCGUGCCAGCAGCCGCGGUAAUACGGAGGGUGCGAGCGUUGUCCGGAUUUAUUGGGUUUAAAGGGUGCGUAGGCGGCCCGUUAAGUCCGGGGUGAAAGCCCGUUGCUCAACUACGGAACUGCCCUGGAUACUGACGGGCUUGAGUACAGACGAGGUUGGCGGAAUGGACCGAGUAGCGGUGAAAUGCAUAGAUACGGUCCAGAACCCCGAUUGCGAAGGCAGCUGACUAGGCUGUUACUGACGCUGAGGCACGACAGCGUGGGGAGCGAACAGGAUUAGAUACCCUGGUAGUCCACGCCGUAAACGAUGGAUACUCGGUGCGAGGUACAUAUUGCUCUUGCCUUACCGAAACUGAUGAAUUUCCCGCCUGGGCAGGAGAGCACCGACGGUGAGAUUCAAAUGAAUUGACUUGAGCCCGGCCCGCUGAAGCAGCAUGUGGUGUAAUUCAAUUAUACGCGAGGAACCUAACCUUACCUAGAAUGGACGUGACCCGGACAGACCUGAACCUUUCCUUCCCGCUUGCAAGCAGGGUGCUGGUGGUGCAUGGUUGUCUCCUGCUCGUGGGGUGGUGAUGUUAAGUCCCGUCCCGCAACGACCCCUACCCUCAGUUUAUGUUGUGUAAUGAUGAUGGACUCUAACUCGACUGACACUGCCGGCAUCGAGGAAGACGAAGACGACGACGAGUCAUCAUGGCCCUUACCCCUAUGUCGACACAUUCGCUAUGUGGACUGGCCGGUACUAGCUACACAGAUAUGUGAGGCGAUCUAAUCACCCGUUCUCAGUCUCGAUUGGAAUCGGCGACUGCACUCCUGACCCUGAAAUC
rnacentral:rRNA from 1 species